CCGGGUGCUUAUACCGGCGGGGCCACACCCGUUCCCAUUCCGAACACGGUCGUUAAGCCCGCCAGGGCCGAUGGUACUGCGUCCGCGAGGACGUGGGAGAGUAGGUCAGCGCCCGGA
rnacentral:rRNA from 1 species